rnacentral:rRNA from 1 species
UACAGAGGUGGCGAGCGUUGUUCGGAUUCAUUGGGCGUAAAGGGUCCGUAGGCGGCCCGGAAAGUCGGAUGUGAAAUCCCACGGCUUAACCGUGGAACUGCAUUCGAAACUUCCAGGCUUGAGCGCAGGAGGGGUGAAGGGAAUUCCCGGUGUAGGGGUGAAAUCUGCAGAGAUCGGGAGGAACACCAGUCGCGAAGGCGCUUCAUUAGCCUGCCGCUGACGCUCAGGGACGAAAGCCAGGGGAGCAAACGGGAUUAGAAACCCC